rnacentral:rRNA from 1 species
GUGGCGAACGGGUGAGUAACACGUGAGCAAUCUGCCCUUGACUCUGGGAUAACUGCGGGAAACUGUAGCUAAUACCGGAUACUUUCCUCGCUGGGCAUCCAGCGGGGAAGAAAGAAUUUCGGUCAAGGAUGAGCUCGCGGCCUAUCAGCUAGUUGGUGAGGUAAAGGCUCACCAAAGCGACGACGGGUAGCCGGCCUGAGAGGGUGACCGGCCACACUGGAACUGAGACACGGUCCAGACUCCUACGGGAGGCAGCAGUGGGGAAUAUUGCACAAUGGGCGAAAGCCUGAUGCAGCAACGCCGCGUGAGGGAUGAAGGCCUUCGGGUUGUAAACCUCUUUUAGCAGGGAAGAAGCGAAAGUGACGGUACCUGCAGAAAAAGCACCGGCUAACUACGUGCCAGCAGCCGCGGUAAUACGUAGGGUGCAAGCGUUGUCCGGAAUUAUUGGGCGUAAAGAGCUCGUAGGCGGUUUGUCACGUCUGCUGUGAAAAUCCGAGGCUCAACCUCGGACUUGCAGUGGGUACGGGCGGGCUAGAGUGCGGUAGGGGAGAAGGGAAUUCCUGGUGUAGCGGUGGAAUGCGCAGAUAUCAGGAGGAACACCAAUGGCGAAGGCACUUCUCUGGGCCGUAACUGACGCUGAGGAGCGAAAGCGUGGGGAGCGAACAGGGUUAGAUACCCUGGUAGUCCAC